rnacentral:misc_RNA from 1 species
UACGAGGGGUGCAAGCGUUAUUCGGAAUCAUUGGGCGUAAAGGGUGUGUAGACGGCGUGUUUAGUCAGUUGUUAAAUUUUCCGGCCUAACCGGAAGUCUGCGAUUGAUACUGGCAUGCUAGAGGGUGGAAGAGAGAAGUGGAAUUCUCGGAGUAGCGGUAAAAUGCGUAGAUCUCGAGAGGAACACCGAUGGCGAAGGCAGCUUCUUGGUCCAUUCCUGACGUUGAAACACGAAAGCGUGGGGAGCAAACAGG